AUUGAACGCUGGCGGCAUGCUUUACACAUGCAAGUCGAACGGUAACAGGCCGCACGUUUCUGACGAGUGUCGAACGGGUGAGUAAUGCAUCGGAACGUGGCCAGUCGUUGGGGAUAACUACUCGAAAGAGUAGCUAAUACCUCAUACGAUCUAUGGAUGAAAGCGGGGGACCGUAAGGCCUCGCGCGAUUGUAGCGGCCGAUGUCAGAUUAGGUGGUUGGUGGGGUAAAGGCUCACCAAGCCAACGAUCUGUAGCUGGUCUGAGAGAACGACCAGCCACACUGGGACUGAGACACGGCCCAGACUCCUACGGGAGGCAGCAGUGGGGAAUUUUGGACAAUGGGCGCAAGCCUGAUCCAGCAAUGCCGCGUGCAGGAAGAAGGCCUUCGGGUUGUAAACUGCUUUUGUACGGAACGAAACGGCUCUGGUUAAUACCCGGGGCUAAUGACGGUACCGUAAGAAUAAGCACCGGCUAACUACGUG
rnacentral:rRNA from 1 species